rnacentral:rRNA from 1 species
UACAUGUGGGGCAAGCGUUGUCCGGAAUCACUGGGCGUAAAGGGCGCGUAGGCGGCUUGGGAAGUCUGUGGUGAAAGCUCGUGGCUCAACUGCGAGUCGGCCAUAGAUACUCCUAAGCUCGAGUCGACUAGAGGCAGAUGGAAUUCCGGGUGUAGCGGUGGAAUGCGUAGAGAUCCGGAAGAACACCGGUGGCGAAGGCGGUCUGCUGGGGUCGAACUGACGCUGAGGCGCGACAGCGUGGGGAGCAAACAGG